rnacentral:rRNA from 1 species
UACGUAGGGUGCGAGCGUUGAUCGGAAUUACUGGGCGUAAAGCGUGCGCAGGCGGUUUUGUAAGUCAGAUGUGAAAUCCCCGGGCUUAACCUGGGAACUGCGUUUGAAACUACAAGGCUAGAGUGUGGCAGAGGGGGGUAGAAUUCCACGUGUAGCAGUGAAAUGCGUAGAGAUGUGGAGGAACACCGAUGGCGAAGGCAGCCCCCUGGGUCAAGAUUGACGCUCAUGCACGAAAGCGUGGGGAGCAAACAGG